AACGAACGCUGGCGGCAUGCCUAACACAUGCAAGUCGAACGAGACCUUCGGGUCUAGUGGCGCACGGGUGCGUAACGCGUGGGAAUCUGCCCUUGGGUUCGGAAUAACAGUUGGAAACGACUGCUAAUACCGGAUGAUGACGUAAGUCCAAAGAUUUAUCGCCCAGGGAUGAGCCCGCGUAGGAUUAGCUAGUUGGUGGGGUAAAGGCCUACCAAGGCGACGAUCCUUAGCUGGUCUGAGAGGAUGAUCAGCCACACUGGGACUGAGACACGGCCCAGACUCCUACGGGAGGCAGCAGUGGGGAAUAUUGGACAAUGGGCGAAAGCCUGAUCCAGCAAUGCCGCGUGAGUGAUGAAGGCCUUAGGGUUGUAAAGCUCUUUUACCUGGGAUGAUAAUGACAGUACCGGGAGAAUAAGCCCCGGCUAACUCCGUG
rnacentral:rRNA from 1 species